GACGAACGCUGGCGGCGUGCUUAACACAUGCAAGUCGUACGGUAAGGCCCUUUCGGGGGUACACGAGUGGCGAACGGGUGAGUAACACGUGAGUAACCUGCCCACAACUUUGGGAUAACGCUAGGAAACUGGUGCUAAUACUGGAUAUGUGCUCCUGCUGCAUGGUGGGGGUUGGAAAGCUCCGGCGGUUGUGGAUGGACUCGCGGCCUAUCAGCUUGUUGGUGGGGUAGUGGCCUACCAAGGCGGCGACGGGUAGCCGGCCUGAGAGGGUGACCGGCCACAUUGGGACUGAGAUACGGCCCAGACACCUACGGGGGGCAGCAGUGGGGAAUCUUGCACAAUGGGCGCAAGCCUGAUGCAGCAACGCCGCGUGCGGGAUGACGGCCUUCGGGUUGUAAACCGCUUUCAGCAGGGACGAAGCUUUUUGUGACGGUACCUGCAGAAGAAGCACCGGCUAACUACGUG
rnacentral:rRNA from 1 species